rnacentral:rRNA from 1 species
GACGAACGCUGGCGGCGUGCUUAACACAUGCAAGUCGAACGGAAAGGCCCUGCUUUUGUGGGGUGCUCGAGUGGCGAACGGGUGAGUAACACGUGAGUAACCUGCCCUUGACUUUGGGAUAACUUCAGGAAACUGGGGCUAAUACCGGAUAGGAGCUCCUGCUGCAUGGAGGGGAUUGGAAAGUUUCGGCGGUUGGGGAUGGACUCGCGGCUUAUCAGCUUGUUGGUGGGGUAGUGGCUUACCAAGGCUUUGACGGGUAGCCGGCCUGAGAGGGUGACCGGCGACAGUGGGACUGAGAGACGGACCAGACUCCUACGGGAGGCAGCAGUGGGGAGUAUGGCACAAUGGGCGGAAGCCUGAUGCAGCAACGCCGCGUGCGUGAUGACGGCCUUCGGGUUGUAAACCGCUGCCGCCUGUGACGAAGCGUGAGUGACGGUAAUGGGUAAAGAAGCACCGGCUAACUACGUG